rnacentral:misc_RNA from 1 species
AAGUCGUAACAAGGUUUCCGUAGGUGAACCUGCGGAAGGAUCAUUAAUGAACUUUGAAACCCUUGUGGCUUCACUGGUCUGUAGCUGGCCUUCUUCGGAGGGUAUGUGCUCGCUAGUGUCGCUGCAACUUUCUUUGUCCACCUGUGCACCUUUUGUAGUCUUGGAGCAUCUCUCGACGAUUUAUUUCGCUCGGAUUUGGAGGGCUAGCCCUAGUGGCUUCCCUCUGUCGCUCCCAGACUAUGCUUAUAACAAACUCUAUUGUAUGUCUAGAAUGUCAUUGCUUUAUUGGACGCGAGUCCUAUAAAACUUUAUACAACUUUCAACAACGGAUCUCUUGGCUCUC